rnacentral:rRNA from 1 species
GACGAACCGUCCAAGCGUUAUUCGGAUUCACUGGGCGUAAAGGGUGCGCAGGCGGCCAGAUGUGUGAGGCGUGAAAGCCCAGGGCUUAACCCUGGAAUUGCACCUCAAACUAUUUGGCUAGAGCAUUGGAGAGGGAAGCGGAAUUCACGGUGUAGCAGUGAAAUGCGUAGAUAUCGUGAGGAACACCAGAGGCGAAGGCGGCUUCCUGGACAAUUGCUGACGCUCAGGCACGAAAGCGUGGGGAGCAAAAGGG